UACGAAGGGGGCUAGCGUUGUUCGGAAUUACUGGGCGUAAAGCGCACGUAGGCGGAUUUGUAAGUCAGGGGUGAAAUCCCGGGGCUCAACCUCGGAACUGCCUUUGAUACUGCAAAUCUCGAGUCCGGAAGAGGUGAGUGGAAUUCCCAGUGUAGUGGUGAAAUACGUAGAGAUUGGGAAGAACACCAGUGGCGAAGGCGGACUAUCUGGACGGUUUCUGACGCUAAGACGCGAAAGCGUGGGGAGCAAACAGG
rnacentral:rRNA from 1 species